UACGUAGGCAGCGAGCGUUGUUCGGAGUUACUGGGCGUAAAGGGUGUGUAGGCGGUUGUUUAAGUUUGGUGUGAAAUCUCCCGGCUCAACUGGGAGGGUGCGCCGAAUACUGAAUGACUUGGAGUGCGGGAGAGGAAAGUGGAAUUCCUGGUGUAGUGGUGGAAUGCGUAGAGAUCCGGAGGAACACCAGUGGCGAAGGCGGCUGCCUGGGCCUGGCCUGACGCUGAGGCGCGAAAGCGUGGGGAGCAAUCCGG
rnacentral:rRNA from 1 species